AUGUUCCCAGACCUGCUGCUUAAAUUGUUUGGGGAAAUUGUACAGCAACUGUGGGGCUGGUUUAGGGGGAAAAGGGAGGUUUGGGGGCAGCAGGGCCAGGCUCACAGCUUGUUCCCCCUCACAGUCCUGUUUGCCAUGAAGGAGGGGAAUGAGAAGGUGCCCACUCUGCUCACGGAUUACAUCCUCAAAGGUACCUGCACCCUCCUGCCCCUCCAUUACAUCCUUUGUGCAUCCUUUCCCUCCUGCAACCUCAUUUGUCCCUUUUGCAUCUCCUGUGCAUCCUCUGUGCAUCCUUGGAGAAUCCCAGAUACAUCCUGUGUCACUCCUUCCACUUCCCUCAUGCAUCCCUGGUGCAUCCUCCACACAUCCUUCAGGAAUCCCAGGUGCACCUCCUGCAUCCCUCAGGCAUUCUUUGUACAGCUCUGCUGUUCUGCCACACCUCUGGGGGCCCUGUGCAGCUUCCUGCCCCAUCCUGGGGCCCAUGUGCUUCAUCCACACAGCCUCAGCACCCUCUGCACGCCCCCUCUCACCCCCACACCCCCUCAGGCACCCUCCUCUGCCUCCCUUGGGUAUCCCCAUCCAUCUUCCUUGCAUCUCCCAGGCACCCUUGUGCACCCCUGCACAUCUCCCACACCCCUCUUGUGCAUCCUCCUGAGUCCUCGUGUGUCCAUCAUGCUCUUUCUGUGCACUGCUGUGUGUGUGCAUCCCUUGUGCAUCCUCAUGCAUCCUGGUACAUCCCUGUGCAUGCUCAUGGAUCACAGUGCAUCCUCCUGCAUCCUGGUGCAUCCAUGUGCAUUGCAGUGCAUCCCUGUGCAGUCUCCUGCAUUCCAGUGCAUCCUCAUGCAUCCCUGUGCAUCCCCCUGCAUCCCUGUGCAUUCCAGUGCAUCCCCUUGCACACUUGUGCAUCCUCCUGCAUCCUGGUACAUCCCUGUGCAUCCUCCUGCAUUCCUUGUGCAUCCUGAUGCAUCCAUGUGCAUUGCAGUGCAUCCCUGUGCAGUGUCAUGCAUUCCAGUGCAUCCUCAUGGAUCACAGUGCAUCCCCCUGCAUCCCUGUGCAUCCCCCUGCAUCCCCUUGCACACUUGUGCAUCCUCCUGCAUCCUGGUACAUCCCUGUGCAUCCUCAUGCAUUCCUUGUGCAUCCUCCUGCAUUCCUUGUGCAUCCUGA
rnacentral:lncRNA from 1 species